rnacentral:tRNA from 1 species
GGGCGAUUAGCUCAGCGGUCAGAGCGCCUCCUUUACACGGAGGAUGUCGGGGGUUCGAUCCCCUCAUCGCCCACCA